rnacentral:rRNA from 1 species
UACGGAGGAUUCGAGCGUUAUCCGGAUUUAUUGGGUUUAAAGGGAGCGUAGGCGGGUUGUUAAGUCAGUUGUGAAAGUUUGCGGCUCAACCGUAAAAUUGCAGUUGAUACUGGCAUCCUUGAGUACAGUAGAGGUAGGCGGAAUUCGUGGUGUAGCGGUGAAAUGCUUAGAUAUCACGAAGAACUCCGAUUGCGAAGGCAGCCUGCUGGACUGUAACUGACGCUGAUGCUCGAAAGUGUGGGUAUCAGACAGG